CAGUCGCCGCGGUAAUACAGAGGGUGCGAGCGUUAAUCGGAUUUACUGGGCGUAAAGCGUGCGUAGGCGGCUAAUUGAGUCGGAUGUGAAAUCCCCGAGCUUAACUUGGGAAUUGCAUUCGAUACUGGUUAGCUAGAGUGUGGGAGAGGAUGGUAGAAUUCCAGGUGUAGUGGUGAAAUGCGUAGAGAUCUGGAGGAAUACCGAUGGCGAAGGCAGCCAUCUGGCCUAACACUGACGCUGAGGUACGAAAGCAUGGGGAGCAAACAGGAUUAGAUACCCCUGUAGUCCCUGUCUCUUAUAC
rnacentral:rRNA from 1 species